GACACCAGGCGACUCCCGACUCCUGGCUGCUGCUGCUGCGUAGCGUCGACUCCAUGGAGAAGCGGGGCGCGGGUGACCAUCACGCUGCGCUGUAAGGACCCGCGAGUGUUACAGCUGGACGCAGAGGGCGUGGGAGCGACGCUGGACAUAGCCCCCUCCAUCGAGGCGCUGUCCUCCCUGGAAUCGAUCAUCACCUCCUAUCCGUUCUUCUGCCGUCCCAAGGGCUUGAGAUUGGGCGACGCCUGGCACUUCCACCCGCCCGAAUAGCUACCGCAAGGGAAUAAAUAGCUCGCAUGACCAACGCGUGGCGGCCGAGCGAGGUGAACGAGGACUUCCGCCUGUGCCCCAGUUACCCCGCGCGGUGAUGGUGCCUCGUGCGGUGGACGGUGAUACCCUGGCGCGGGGCGCCCGCUUCCGCCAGGGAGCCCGCUUCCCCGGGUUCCGCGGCCACCCAGCUCCCAGCGGAGCCGUGAGCCCCGCCCCGCCCCAACCCUGCGGUUAGGAGUAACCACGUCCGCGCUGGGCUUUUCUGCAUCGGCCAGGCCAGUUCGCCGUCCCACAGGUGCCGCGGUUGCCGCCCUAGCUCCUGCCUUUUCUGGCCGUGCGGGGGAGGGUGCCUCCAAAUCCGCUUCAGCCUGCUUUCCCGAGCUCCUGCCCAGCCCCCCUCCCGGGUUUCGGAGCCAGAGCUCGGUGGCCCCGCCCCCUGGCCGGUCGGGGCCUCCGAAGCUCAGACCCUUCUUUGUCAAACCAGGACCCGCCCCCAAUCGACUCGUGGGGUUCCUCCCGGUCCCGCCACAAGCAACCCAGACCCGGCUCAGAGGCUUUCGAGUUUCGCUUGUAAGGCUCCUGCGCCCCGGUCCGCUCCUGCCAGCUCUGACCCGUUCGUGUGUAGACCUGGCCUGGGGGCUCUGAGCGAAGUUCCUGAACCAGGAGCCGAGUCCCCGUCUGCGGGUGCUGCUGCGGUCCAGCCAGGCCCUGGCCGAGCCCCAGAAGCGGCGCUGCCGAGGAUGAGGAGCUGCUGCGACCCGCGCUGGCGGGGGCUUGCCCUGCGGCCGGGGGCAGCAUCUUGGACACGCGCUCAGCCCGCGCUGCCAAACAGGCCCCCGGGACCCGCAGCGGCGCAGAAUCCAAGGCUGCCUACCCUGGCUGGAAACGGCUGCAUCGUCCCCCGGAGAGUGACUCCAGCCCACUACCCUCCGCUUCCUCACUGCCAUGCUUUGGCUCAAGUCUCUGAACUUCUCCCAGUUUCUUCUCAGACAUCCUGCUGUGGCACUGCUCGUAAUGGAGUGCAAGACGUGUGUCUCCUCAGAAAUGCGCUCCUCCAUACCAAAGGCCUGCUCUAACUUCUCUGCAUGUCCCCAGUGUUCAGCGUAGACUUGGUACAGAAGUGGAUACCCAGUAAAUCUUUACUAAACUGAGCGCUUAACAGGAUCCCGUCUUUAGUUUCGGUUCUUCUAAUGCUCCCCACUGCCACCUGAGCUUGACAAACUUAACACAGACCACUCUUCCCUGCUCAAGGCCCUGCACAGCAUGCCAAGCCUUACAGAACACAGCCUAGCUCCUGAGUUUGGCAUUCAAGCCUGUUCUGGCCCCAGCCUGCCUCACCUGCUCUACCGUCUCAUUUGCCAAGAAGCAGGAACUCGGCUGGACCAGAUGACUUGGACCGACACUUGCCAUGCUUUUACUCCUGCAUGUGUCAGUGAUGACCUCUUUCUCAUCCUUUAAGCUCUGCUCACAUGACACUGACCUUGGGAAAUCUCCCUAAGCUGCUUCUAUCCCAUUCCAGGCAGUCAGUUGCCCCCCUUUGGCCUCCCACAGUGCUCUAUGCCUCCUCUAACAUACUUGUAUCUUACUGUAGUGCCUCCUUUCUAGUCCGUGUUCCUUAUUUUCUCAUCUGUUUCUUAUUCCCUAGACUAGGAACCAUCUCUGGAUUUAUCUCUAUUUCCUCAGAACCUGUUUGCUUAAACAGUACACUAUAGGUCCUCACUAUUUGCUAAAAAAGUGAGCG